ACUAGCAGCCAGACCAAUCGAGACCCUGCCUUAGCUGAUUCUCUGAAGCUACGCAGGUGUGGGCUUGGUUAGUACUGGAUGGGAGAGAACACUGAGUUGCUGCUGGAA
rnacentral:rRNA from 10 species